rnacentral:rRNA from 1 species
GACGAACGCUGGCGGCGUGCUUAACACAUGCAAGUCGAACGGAAAGGCCCUGCUUUUGUGGGGUGCUCGAGUGGCGAACGGGUGAGUAACACGUGAGUAACCUGCCCUUGACUUUGGGAUAACUUCAGGAAACUGGGGCUAAUACCGGAUAGGAGCUCCUGCUGCAUGGUGGGGGUUGGAAAGUUUCGGCGGUUGGGGAUGGACUCGCGGCUUAUCAGCUUGUUGGUGGGGUAGUGGCUUACCAAGGCUUUGACGGGUAGCCGGCCUGAGAGGGUGACCGGCCACAUUGGGACUGAGAUACGGCCCAGAUUCCUACGGGAGGCAGCAGUGGGGAAUAUUGCACAAUGGGCGGAAGCCUGAUGCAGCAACGCUGCGUGCGGGAUGACGGCCUUCGGGUUGUAAACCGCUUUCGCCUGUGACGAAGCGUGAGUGACGGUAAUGGGUAAAGAAGCACCGGCUAACUACGUG